CAACUCCAUUCUUUACAUGGUUGAGCACUUACGGAGUCACACAUGGGGGGGAAAACACAUCACCACAGCUGGGUUCUGUUGGCUUAAAUCAAAUGCAGACAUUUAAAUAGAUGGUGGAGAGGAGUAGAGCCCCUGCAACAGCAGGGGAGGUGAAGAUUCUGCUCUCCUGACCUGCCUGUAUACAGAAAUUUAAAGAAAGUGGUAAGAAAAACAGGCCUGUGUUUGCAGCAGAUAUCACCCACGUUUUCCAAAGACCAAAGAAUCCCUGGAGAGUUCAAAGGGGGAGGUGUUGUGUGAGUGCAGCCCAUGGAAUGAUAAACACUCCUGGGAUAAUUUAGAUGUAGAAGGCACACUGAGAAACACAAUUUCCAUUGCAGCAAGGCUGGGGGGACAGAAGUCUUGUGGUGCUGUUUGUUCCCUGAGUGCAGCAAGGCUCUCACAGACAGCAUCACUUCCCUGUGCCAGGAUUUUGUGUGUUUUUGAAGUAAGAACCUGUUCCCUUCAUGGAAGAGGAUGUCACAGCUGGACAAAAGACCUCAGCAGAUUAGAUUCUGCUUCUUCUCCACUGGCACAAAGGACAUAGAUCUUGUGUCUUCCAGGAAGAGCAGAUUCUGCCAACAAUGCAAAGUUAAGAACAGAAAAAUGGAUGGUUGUACCUGCAGUGGAGGACUCUCAGCUCUGACAAGUGUGAGCAUGGCAGAAGGCCCCUGGCCAGGCCUGAGCAGCACAGCUCACAUCUCCUCGUGUUUCUUGGCUGAUUCUGCUUCAGCCAGACCUUUGGGGUGUGUAAAAUGAUUGGUUCCUCUGUGAAAUAACACAGGAGGAAAAGGACAUCCUGCUCUUCCAGCAGUGAGUUUUUUACUUCUUUACUAAUUUGCUCCCUUGGAAUUUGUACUCAUUUCUACUUUGUGGUGAAAGAAAAAAAGUCUGGGCUCACAACCACCUGUGCAUGGCAUUUGCUUUGCAUGCUUGGACUGGGUUUUUCAGGAUUACACAUCAGAUUGGUUACCUCUGUCUGGUUUAGGGAGACAACAGAGAAUUCUGGCUGAAUUGAGAGGAAUCUUUGAAAAGCAGUCUGAUGCUGGGCUCACCUGGUUGUUUUGUACUGCUGGAAGAUCCUGGAAGAACUGGCACAAUUAGACAUGCAGAAGUAUUUGAGCAGCAAUACCUACUCACAAUGAAGCAAUUAAGACAAUUACUGUGUGUUUUAUGUAACAGGACAAAUGGAUCUCACUCUUAAAGUCUUUGAAAAUCUCCUGUAAAAGCUCUAAUAAUGCAUUAAUACAUUAAUCCUUCUAAUCCUGUCAAACUCCACAAGUGUUUCCAUGGAGGGGCUGAUAGGAGAUCUCAGUACUGAGAGGAGGAGCAGCAACCACUUGCUACAGCUGCUUUUCUAACCAUUUAUCCAUGGGACUGAAAGUCACAGUACUCAAUGGCUGAAGGGUGGGAUCACACGGGAUGGUUGGGGUUGGGAGGGAUCUCUGAAGUUCAUCUAGCCCAGCCCCUGCCACAGCAGGCUCACCUAGGGCAGGACCACAUCCAGGCAGGUUUUGAAUAGCUCAGAGAAGCAGAUUCCAUAAAGGAGAAGGAAACUUUGGAAAGACUCUCUUGACCUUGGCCCUGGAAAUGGUUCCCUGACUUGUGCAUGCUGCCAUUUCUACUGGAUCCAGUAAAAUACAACAAUUUCUCCUGAGUCACGAGGCAGAGGGGUUGUGGCCAGGGGUGAUCCAGAGAGGAUCUUGAGGUGUUCCUGGACUCCCCCAGGCAAGGAGCAGUCCCAGCCAGUGCCUCUCUCUCUUAGCACAGGCACAACCUGCCACCUCUGGAGUCCAGAUGCUCUGAACUGAGGCUGAACUCUGGGAGAGAGGCCAAAUAUCCAAUCAAGAAGUAAAAAUAAAAGCAAACGUAAAAGGAAAGAUAUUUUGUAAAAUCAAAGGUAGAGGCAGCCCAGUGGCAGUAUCAUGGAGAAAAAUAAAAGAAAACUGUGCUUCUAUUUACCUAUGCUUAGGUCAGAUCAAAGAGGCUUCCCUGAUUCUCCAUUUGCAAUACCUGCUUAAUCGUGUGCCUGUGCCUCCUGCUCUUAGGCAAAGCUCAUGUUCUUAGAAAACUGUCAGAGGAGAAGAUGCUGAUUUGGAUAUACAAGUUGUUAGGAUUUUUUUUCCUUUUUUCUUUUUUUUUAAAAAUCUUACCCGAUACUCUGUUCCAGCUGCAGCAUCUCCCUGGAUGGAUAUCUUUGAUACCCAACAUAAAUUCAAAUUAGUUUUAACCCUCCACACACCAGGCUACUGCUGCCUCAAAGCUUUGGUAACUCCUGAAUAUGUUAACCUGUUGUAGGAUAACAAACUCUUUUCUGCCUGGCACGGCAGUGCUGAAAUCUCAGUGUGAAGCCUUCCUCACAGAGCCAGCCUUGCAUUUCACAGCAUCGCAAAAUUGCCAAUCACAUUUAUACAAUAAUAUACAUCUCACUGCUACAAGUAGCUCAUUAAUAGUCUUAAUUGAGACUAGACUCAAUGGCUAAGCAGCCACUUGGAGAAGAUAAUGGGUGUGAGGUGAGUGACCCCUGUACAGUCUUUGAGAGAUUUCAGAGUGCCUGGAUUUUCAGAAGAGUCUGGGGAAAUUAUACAUAAAAUACCUUAUCAUAUCUCACUGAGAAUGGGAUAUCUGGGCUAGCUCAGGAAAAAAAAAAAUCUCAAUUUUAAUUUUUCUGCAUUUUAGGUCUUGAUCUGAAAGCCAAGGCUAAUGCUUCUUUUCCUAAUUUAGAGGUACAUGGAUCCCUUGAGGUCUGUGACUUAGGUAGAUGUGAGUCUACUUGGGGAUAGUUAAGUAAAGUACUGCUGGAAAAUCCAGGACAAGCAAAGACUGUGACUUGUGUGUUUUCCCAAAAGCACAAGGCAAAAGAAGAGCUUUGGAAUCCAGUCCUUCUGUAUAGCAGAGCCCAUGGGAUAAGAGGAGCUCUCUAUUUCAGGAGGCACUUUUGGAAAAUGCUGCCCUGACCUCACCUGGGCUCUUUAUGCUGAUUUGCAGCAGAUGAGGAUCUGCCUCUCUAUGCCCAAAUAUUGUGAAGACUCACAUGUAGCAGACAGAGAAUGAGAUGGAGGGGAGAGGGUUAUGCCCUUUAUGCUGUGAAAACUUUUGAAGGGAAAGUUUCUCAACAAAACACUGAGGUUUUUACUGGGGGAUGGUGUGAAAGUGUUCCCAGGGAAAUGCAAAGGAGUGUAAGAGUGUCAUGCUGGGGGAUGCAGACCCUGUCCCUGUGAGAUCAACAAGGAAAAUCAACAAGGAAAAGUGCUGCUCAUAAUGCUGAAAUAAAUUAGGAGUUGAGUGGCUGGAGGAUGGAGGCAUUAGGGUCAGGAUUAGGGUCAGCCCAGCCAGGCUGGUGUUGUGCAGGGGAGAGGACAUCUUGA